GCUGUUGUGGCUCAGUGGUUGAGCAUCGACUAUGAACCAGGAGGUCACAGGUUUGAUUUCCUGUCAGAGCA
rnacentral:tRNA from 1 species